rnacentral:tRNA from 1 species
GCCCCGGUAGCUUAGUGGUAGAGCGGCGGCCUCGUAAGCCGUUGAUCGCGGGUUCAAAUCCCGCCCGGGGCU